rnacentral:rRNA from 1 species
GACGAACGCUGGCGGCGUGCUUAACACAUGCAAGUCGAACGGAAAGGCCCUGCUUGCAGGGUACUCGAGUGGCGAACGGGUGAGUAACACGUGGGUGAUCUGCCCUGCACUUCGGGAUAAGCCUGGGAAACUGGGUCUAAUACCGGAUAGGAGCCAUUUUUAGAGUGAUGGUUGGAAAGUUUUUUCGGUGUAGGAUGAGCUCGCGGCCUAACGGCUUGUUGGUGGGGUAAUGGCCUACCAAGGCGGCGACGGGUAGCCGGCCUGUGAGGGUGGACGGCCACAUUGGGACUGAGGGACGGCCCAGACGCCUACGGGAGGGAGCAGGGGGGAAGAUUGCACAAGGAGCGCAAGCCUGAUGCAGCGACGCCGCGUGGGGGAUGACGGCCUUCGGGUUGUAAACACCUUGCGGUAGGGACGGAGCUUUUUGUGACGGUACCUAGAUAAGAAGCACCGGCUAACUACGUG